rnacentral:rRNA from 1 species
AGCAUAUUAGUAAGCGGAGGAAAAGAAACUAACCAGGAUUCCCCGAGUAACGGCGAGCGAAAGGGGAAGAGCCCAGCGCUGAAUCCUCUGGUCCUGCAGGGCCAGCGGGACAUGUAGCGUAUGGGAGGGUCGCUUCUCCCGGGGUGCCGCGGCCUGUCCAAGUCCCUCUUGAACGGGGCCACGGUCCUUAGAAGGUGCCAGGCCUGUGGGAUGGUUGCGGUUCCCGGGAAGACCUCUCCUUGGAGUCGGGUUGCUUGAGAGUGCAGCCCUAAGCAGGUGGUAAACUCCAUCUAAGGCUAAAUAUGACCACGAGACCGAUAGC